GGGGGAUUAGCUCAGUUGGGAGAGCGCUUGCAUGGCAUGCAAGAGGUCACCAGUUCGAGCCUGGUAUCCUCCACCA
rnacentral:tRNA from 1 species